GAUGAACGCUAGCUACAGGCUUAACACAUGCAAGUCGAGGGGCAUCAUUAUCGAAGCUUGCUUUGAUAGAUGGCGACCGGCGCACGGGUGAGUAACGCGUAUCCAACCUUCCCUUAACUUGGGAAUAGCCCGGUGAAAACCGGAUUAAUGCCCGAUGUGGUCCAGCGAGGGCAUCUGACCCGGACCAAAGAAUUUGUCGGUUAAGGAUGGGGAUGCGUCUGAUUAGCUUGUUGGCGGGGUAACGGCCCACCAAGGCGACGAUCAGUAGGGGUUCUGAGAGGAAGGUCCCCCACACUGGUACUGAGACACGGACCAGACUCC
rnacentral:rRNA from 1 species